rnacentral:rRNA from 1 species
GAUGAACGCUGGCGGCGUGCUUAACACAUGCAAGUCGAACGGAAAGGCCACAGCUUGCUGUGGUACUCGAGUGGCGAACGGGUGAGUAACACGUGGGUGAUCUGCCCUGUACUUCGGGAUAAGCUUGGGAAACUGGGUCUAAUACCGGAUAGGAAUCACAUGUGGGUGUGUGGUUGGAAAGCUUUUGCGGUAUGGGAUGAGCUCGCGGCCUAUCAGCUUGUUGGUGGGGUAAUGGCCUACCAAGGCGUCGACGGGUAGCCGGCCUGAGAGGGUGUACGGCCACAUUGGGACUGAGAUACGGCCCAGACUCCUACGGGAGGCAGCAGUGGGGAAUAUUGCACAAUGGGCGCAAGCCUGAUGCAGCGACGCCGCGUGGGGGAUGACGGCCUUCGGGUUGUAAACUCCUUUCGUCAGGGACGAAGCGAAAGUGACGGUACCUGGAUAAGGAGCACCGGCUAACUACGUG